AACCACACAGUGAGCACAAAGCGUAUUAUUCUUUCGCCUUUUACUCAAGAAUACUGUGUGCUCACUGCAUUUAGUGGCAUAUACUAAUAUGUGGGGAUGAGAGGUCACUGCAAUC